GGGCGAUAGUUGCAUGACGUAGACCCGAAACCGGGUGACCUAUCCAUGAGCAGGUUGAAGUGGAGGUAAAGCUCCAUGGAGGACCGAACCAGACGUCUGUUGAAAAAGGCGGGGAUGACUUGUGGAUAGGGGAGAAAUUCCAAUCGAACCCGGAGAUAGCUGGUUCUCCUCGAAAUAGCUUUAGGGCUAGCCUCAUGGAUCAUUGGUGGGGGUAGAGCACUGAAUGUGCGCGGGGGCCACAAAGCCUACCAAACGCUAUCAAACUUCGAAUACCAUACAAUGCAGACCAUGGGAGUCAGUCCGCGAGAGAUAAGUUCCGCGGGCAAAAGGGGAACACCCCAGAUCAACCGCUAAGGUCCCCAAGUUCACGUUAAGUGGAGAAGGAUGUGGAAUUGCACAGACAACCAGGAUGUUGGCUCAGAAGCAGCCACACAUUUAAAGAGUGCGUAAUAGCUCACUGGUCGAGUGAUUGUGCGCCGAAGAUGUCCGGGGCUAAACGUGACACCGAAGCGAUGGGUGCGUCUGAAGAAGAUGCGCGGUAGAGGAGCAAUGUGCAGAGGCAGAAGCCGUAUCGAGAGGCACGGUGGACACUGCACAAGAGAGAAUGCCGGUAUGAGUAGCGAGAGGCAUGCGAGAAACAUGCCCGUCGAAAGCCCAAGGUUUCCUGGGGAAGGUUCAUCCGCCCAGGGUAAGUCGGGGCCUAAGCCGAGGACGGAAGUCGUAGGCGAUGGACAGCAGGUGUAGAUUCCUGCACUACCGAUGGAAUGAAGCAGUGACACAGAAGGAUAACUCGAGCAGGGUGAUGGUCAACCCUGUGCAAGCAUCAAGGUUGGGUUGUAGUGAAGUACGCAACCCUAUAAGCUGAGGUGUGAUGCGGACCGAAAUUUCAGUAGGGAAGCGAGUGAGUUCACGCUGGCGAGAAAAGCUGCUAGUAUAUCCAAAGGUACCCGUACCGGAAACCGACGCAGGUGGGCGAGGAGAGAAUCCUGAGACGAACGGGAGAACCCUUGUUAAGGAACUCGGCAAAAUGACCCCGUAACUUCGGGAUAAGGGGUGCCUGCGAGAGCAGGCCGCAGAGAAUAGUCACAAGCGACUGUUUAGCAAAAACACAGGUAUCUGCGAAAGCGAGAGCUGACGUAUAGGUGCUGACACCUGCCCGGUGCUGGAAGGUUAAGGGAACAUGUUAGAGCAAUCGAAGCAUCGAACCGAAGCCCCAGUAAACGGCGGCCGUAACUAUAACGGUCCUAAGGUAGCGAAAUUCCUUGUCGGGUAAGUUCCGACCCGCACGAAUGGUGUAACGACUUGUGAGCUGUCUCAACAGGGGGCCCGGUGAAAUUGAAGUAUGGGUGAAGAUGCCCAUUACCCGCGACUGGACGGAAAGACCCCGUAGAGCUUUACUGCAGCCUGAUAUUGAGUUUCGGUAACUGAUGCACAGGAUAGGUGGGAGUCUGAGAGACACGGGUUUCGGCUCGUGUGGAGACGCUGUUGGGAUACCACUCUUCGGUUACUGAAAUUCUAACAUAGCUCUGUGAAACCAGAGGAUGGACAGUGUCAGGUGGACAGUUUGACUGGGGCGGUCGCCCCCGAAAGGGGUGAGGGGGGGUCCCAAGGGAACCCCCGGAAGGGUGGAAACAAUCUGCAAGAGGGCCAA
rnacentral:rRNA from 1 species